rnacentral:rRNA from 1 species
AUUGAACGCUGGCGGCAUGCCUUACACAUGCAAGUCGAACGGUAACAGGUCUUCGGACGCUGACGAGUGGCGAACGGGUGAGUAAUACAUCGGAACGUGCCCAGUCGCGGGGGAUAACUACUCGAAAGAGUAGCUAAUACCGCAUACGAUCUGAGGAUGAAAGCGGGGGACCUUCGGGCCUCGCGCGAUUGGAGCGGCCGAUGGCAGAUUAGGUAGUUGGUGGGAUAAAAGCUUACCAAGCCGACGAUCUGUAGCUGGCCUGAGAGGAAGGUCCCCCACACUGGUACUGAGACACGGACCAG